CUUCUGUUGUUUGAAGCCAUCCAGUCUGUGGUAACUUGUUUCAGCAGCCAGAGAAAACUAAGACAGUUCCAUCUAUCCGUAUGAUUUUGAUCGUGACCUUAAUCGUCUGGCUGAGGUAGUGUUUACCGGUUUUCUCCCCUCUACACGUAUUAUUUGCCCCUCUGCAUACUGUGCUCUUCGGAAGGUCACUGUACACAGCCCCUUUCAGCAGAGAAUUACAUUCUGCAGCACAAGGAGGGUUUGUUUGUUGCUACUGUGAGAUUUCUACCAUAUUUUCAUGCGGUAUUUAUUACCAAUUUAAAGACUGAUACUGCCUCCUGAAGAAAUUGUGUGUAGCAACUUUGUUAAACCCCUUUAUUAAUACUAUUAGAUUUACCAUUUGCUUUAUUUGGAUUGCGUGUAAUUGUAAUUGCAAGUAAUGCUCUUACCUCUUUUUUCUCCGUGUUUGUAUCUUAUAUUUCUGUCCUAGGUCUUAUUGCAUUGGCCAGGACUCCAGGAGACUUGAAGAACGGCCGUGGUUGCAGAUCUAGUGUCCAGCUUAGGACUUUUGUCUUUUGGGACUCACGGCUUCCCCUUUACUCCCUACAUGUAAUUCUGACUGAUGGAUAGAUACUCCGGGAAGACUGGCGAACCGGAUUUGUUCUAUUUGGAAGAUGCGGGCUUGUUGCUCUAUUUU
rnacentral:lncRNA from 12 species